AUGUCUUCCCACCACAGGGCUAUGGCGACCCAGGGCAAUGGGGCUUCUGCCAGGCACCAGGAGGCCGACUUGGUGGGACUAGCCACCCUGCGACCCUUGCUGGAAGAGAAAGCCAAGUGUGUCAUGAUCAACUCAACUCAAGCUGAAGAAAAGCAAGCGUACCCUGUGUCCCAGGAAGAAGAGGAGGAGAUGCGGGUAUUGCCUCUCCCUCUGCAGGCCCACCAUGCUAUGGAGAAGAUGGAGGAGUUCGUGUACAAGGUGUGGGAGGGCAGCUGGCGGGUCAUCCCGUAUGACACGCUUCCUGAUUGGCUGAAGGACAAUGACUACCUGCUCCAUGGCCACCGACCACCCAUGCCCUCCUUUCGGGCUUGCUUCAAGAGCAUCUUCCGCAUCCACACGGAAACGGGCAACAUCUGGACCCAUCUCCUCGGGUUCCUGCUGUUUCUCUUUUUGGGCAUCUUGACCAUGCUCAGACCGAACGUCUACUUCAUGGCCCCCCUGCAGGAGAAGGUGGUGUUCGGGGUGUUCUUUCUGGGUGCAGUGCUCUGCCUCAGCUUCUCUUGGCUCUUCCACACCGUCUGCUGUCAUUCAGAGAAAGUCUCCCAGACGUUUUCCAAACUGGACUAUUCCGGGAUCGCUCUGCUAAUUAUGGGGAGUUUUGUCCCUUGGCUCUAUUACUGCUUCUACUGCUCCCCAAAGGUGCGGCUGGUCUACCUCUGCACCGUCUGUGUGCUGGGCAUUUCUUCCAUCAUCGUGGCACAGUGGGACAGGUUCGCCACUCCUAAGCACCGGAAGACCAGAGCAGGAGUGUUCCUGGGCCUGGGCUUGAGUGGUGUGGUGCCUACCAUGCACUUCACCAUCGUGGAGGGCAUUGUCAAAGCUGUCACAGUGGGCCGGAUGGGCUGGUUCUUGCUCAUGGCUUUUAUGUACAUCACCGGAGCCUGCCUCUACGCUGCUCGGAUUCCUGAGCGCUUCUUUCCAGGGAAAUUUGACCUAUGGUUCCAGUCUCAUCAGAUUUUCCACGUGCUGGUGGUGGUGGCUGCUCUGGUCCACUUCUACGUGGUCUCCAGCCUUCAGGAAUUCCGUUAUAGCCUAGCAGGUGGCUGUACUGAUGAUUCCCUGCUCUGA